rnacentral:lncRNA from 11 species
AAACAACCAAUGUUUCUGAAAAUAUGUCCUGAAGGAGUGUUUAAAAAAACUGUCUGCCGAGAACAUUGGCAGAGUUGAGGUAAAGUAAGGAAAGAGCUUGUAAAAAAGAAUAUAGACUUGAAGAGAUGACAACUCCCCUUCCACAUGUGCUUUUUCCCCUUCAGUUAUUCAAAUGAAUCCAUAGUGAAAAGUUAUCUUCAGGUGCAAAGGAUCAUCGGUGAAAUAUGGGGGUUCUGCUCAUAAGGGAAUUCUGGAGGGGAAAUGGCAAAACUGGAGGAGAACCAAAAUAAUAAAUAUUUGGCAAAGCUUUUUGCUCAGGCAGAAAGACAAAUGACUUGUGUUGUGAUUUCAGAAUUGGAACCAUCUGGUAGGAUUUGUAGCCAUGAGUUGUUUCCAACUCUUCGUGACCUCAUGGACCAGUCCACACCAGAGUUCCCUGUCGGCCGUCGCCGCCCCCAGCUAAUUCAAGGUCAACCCAGUCACUUUGCAUAUAGUUGAUUUUGCACAUGGUAGAAAAUAAUAUUCUCUGUC